rnacentral:rRNA from 1 species
AUGGGCUCGCGGCCUAUCAGCUUGUUGGUGAGGUAAUGGCUCACCAAGGCGUCGACGGGUAGCCGGCCUGAGAGGGUGACCGGCCACACUGGGACUGAGACACGGCCCAGACUCCUACGGGAGGCAGCAGUGGGGAAUAUUGCACAAUGGGCGCAAGCCUGAUGCAGCAACGCCGCGUGAGGGAUGACGGCCUUCGGGUUGUAAACCUCUUUUGGUAGGGAAGAAGCCUUCGGGUGACGGUACCUGCAGAAAAAGCGCCGGCUAACUACGUGCCAGCAGCCGCGGUAAUACGUAGGGCGCAAGCGUUAUCCGGAAUUAUUGGGCGUAAAGAGCUCGUAGGCGGUCUGUCGCGUCUGCUGUGAAAUUCCGAGGCUCAACCUCGGGCUUGCAGUGGGUACGGGCAGACUAGAGUGCGGUAGGGGAGAUUGGAAUUCCUGGUGUAGCGGUGGAAUGCGCAGAUAUCAGGAGGAACACCGAUGGCGAAGGCAGAUCUCUGGGCCGUUACUGACGCUGAGGAGCGAAAGGGUGGGGAGCAAACAGGCUUAGAUACCCUGGUAGUCCACCCCGUAAACGUUGGGAACUAGUUGUGGGGUCCUUUCCACGGAUUCCGUGACGUAGCUAACGCAUUAAGUUCCCCGCCUGGGGAGUACGGCCGCAAGGCUAAAACUCAAAGGAAUUGACGGGGACCCGCACAAGCGGCGGAGCAUGCGGAUUAAUUCGAUGCAACGCGAAGAACCUUACCAAGGCUUGACAUACACCAGAACGGGCCAGAAAUGGUCAACUCUUUGGACACUGGUGAACAGGUGGUGCAUGGUUGUCGUCAGCUCGUGUCGUGAGAUGUUGGGUUAAGUCCCGCAACGAGCGCAACCCUCGUUCUAUGUUGCCAGCACGUUAUGGUGGGAACUCAUGGGAUACUGCCGGGGUCAACUCGGAGGAAGGUGGGGAUGACGUCAAAUCAUCAUGCCCCUUAUGUCUUGGGCUUCACGCAUGCUACAAUGGCCGGUACAAUGGGCUGCGAUACCGCGAGGUGGAGCGAAUCCCAAAAAGCCGGUC